CGACCGGCGCACGGGUGAGUAACACGUAUGCGACCUGCCCGUAGCAGGGGGAUAAGCGGAAGAAAUUCCGUCUAAUACCGCGUAAUAUCUCUCGGGGGCAUCCCUGAGGGAUUAAAGGAAGCGAUUCCGGCUACGGAUGGGCAUGCGGCGCAUUAGCUAGUCGGCGGGGUAACGGCCCACCGAGGCGACGAUGCGUAGGGGUUCUGAGAGGAAGGUCCCCCACACUGGUACUGAGACACGGACCAGACUCCUACGGAAGGCAGCAG
rnacentral:rRNA from 1 species